GCCAGCAGCCAUAACACCCUGCAACUCACAACUGACAACCCACUGAAGCUAAGCAAAUGUGAGCCUGAUAAGUACUUGGAUGGCAGACCUCCUCAGAAAUUAGGUUGCUGCUGGAA
rnacentral:rRNA from 1 species